GGGGGUGGAGUAGGUCUGGUGGCCUGACGCGUCUUCAAAACGCGAUUUGCCCGGCUAGAACCCGGGUGGGUGGGUUCGAUUCCCACACGCUCCCGCCA
rnacentral:tRNA from 1 species